rnacentral:rRNA from 1 species
AGUGAACGCUGGCGGUAGGCCUAACACAUGCAAGUCGAACGGCAGCACAGUAAGAGCUUGCUCUUACGGGUGGCGAGUGGCGGACGGGUGAGGAAUACAUCGGAAUCUACUUUUUCGUGGGGGAUAACGUAGGGAAACUUACGCUAAUACCGCAUACGACCUACGGGUGAAGGCAGGGGAUCUUCGGACCUUGCGCGAUUGAAUGAGCCGAUGUCGGAUUAGCUAGUUGGCGGGGUAAAGGCCCACCAAGGCGACGAUCCGUAGCUGGUCUGAGAGGAUGAUCAGCCACACUGGAGCUGAGACACGGUCCAGACUCCUACGGGAGGCAGCAGUGGGGAAUAUUGGACAAUGGGCGCAAGCCUGAUCCAGCCAUACCGCGUGGGUGAAGAAGGCCUUCGGGUUGUAAAGCCCUUUUGUUGGGAAAGAAAAGCAGCAGGUUAAUACCCCGCUGUUCUGACGGUACCCAAAGAAUAAGCACCGGCUAACUUCGUG